rnacentral:rRNA from 1 species
UGGGGAAUCUUCCGCAAUGGGCGAAAGCCUGACGGAGCAAUGCCGCGUGGAGGUAGAAGGCCCCCGGGUCGUAAACUCCUUUUCUCGGAGAAGAAGCAGUGACGGUAUCCGAAGAAUAAGCAUCGGCUAACUCUGUGCCAGCAGCCGCGGUAAGACAGGGGAUGCAAGCGUUAUCCGGAAUGAUUGGGCGUAAAGCGUCUGUAGGUGGCUCCUUAAGUCCGCUGUCAAAUCCCAGGGCUCAACCCUGGACAGGCGGUGGAAACUACUAAGCUGGAGUACGGUAGGGGCAGGGGGAAUUUCCGGUGGAGCGGUGAAAUGCGUAGAGAUCGGAAAGAACACCAAAGGCGAAGGCACCCUGCUGGGCCGACACUGACACUGAGAGACGAAAGCUAGGGGAGAGAAUGGG